UUAAUUGAAGAGUUUGAUCAUGGCUCAGAUUGAACGCUGGCGGCAGGCCUAACACAUGCAAGUCGAGCGGCAGCGACAACAUUGAACCUUCGGAGGAUUUGUUGGGCGGCGAGCGGCGGACGGGUGAGUAAGGCCUGGGAAAUUGCCCUGAUGUGGGG
rnacentral:rRNA from 1 species